ACGAUUGUCGGAUAUAUCGUAGUGACGCUCUGAAAAAUUUAAGAGCGAAAAGGAACGCACAAGUUCCUCCCUUAAUCCUUCCGCUGCCAAAGCUUCCUCGCAUUCUUUACGCGCGGCGAUCCGACGAACGUUGUAGAAAACUGAAGAAGUACGUAAAGUUUAAAUUUCAACGAGACACCUGAGAAAGAUUUCUAUGACAAUAAAAACUAGAGCGCCCGCUGUAUGAUACCAGGGCGUUUUCCACUGUCAAUGAGGCGCACUGUACGCAGUCGGAAACCACCGCAGCCACGUGGACCAACACACGCGGAGAAUCCGCGAAAAAAACUGUCCAAGGCGCAUGCAUACUCGCAACACACAUACACAUACAUACACAUACAUAACAGAGAGAGAGAGAGAGAGAAUAUACGAAAGCAUGGAACACACAUGAAAUGCGCUCGCGCUUUACACGGGCAGUGCCCCACGAACACCCGCGAAAAAUCCGCUCAAUCACACCCUCACACGACCGCAUCGCGUAUCUGUCCACGUGCAUCCACAUGCGCUUGUCCCUCCCUUUCCCAACGGGGUGCGAGAGAGCGCGCACAGGCACAUAUACGUGUAGAUACAUACACAUGUAUACACACGAGAACGUUGCGAAGAUCCAGAGAUGUGGAUACACAGAGACAGACGCGAUAGUAGGUAACCCCCGCGAGACCCCCUGCGCAGUCACCCCCGUCUCUCCUUCCUCCACGUCCUCUUCCUCCUCCUCACCCCAUCCUCUCUCGUGGUAGCAAACCUCUCUAGGGGAAAAAGUAGGAAAAGAGUGGGGAGGAUCGAUUUUUACUGGGGCAACCGCCCCUCCCUCCUCCCGCAUGCACCCUCCUGCAUCACCGCGCUCUCCCCCUUCCAUGUUCUCUUCUCUUCCCUCACAUCCUG